rnacentral:rRNA from 1 species
UACGGAGGGGGCAAGCGUUGUUCGGAUUUACUGGGCGUAAAGCGUGCGUAGGUGGCGCGCUAAGUCGGGUGUGAAAUUUCGGAGCUUAACUCCGAAACUGCAUUCGAUACUGGCGUGCUUGAGGACUGGAGAGGAGACUGGAAUUCAUGGUGUAGCAGUGAAAUGCGUAGAGAUCAUGAGGAAGACCAGUGGCGAAGGCGGGUCUCUGGACAGUUCCUGACACUGAGACACGAAGGCCAGGGGAGCAAACGGG